CCAAAUAUAGCUUUUAUAGCAUUUGAAUGUUAAUCAAAAAGAAGAAAGAUAAAUAAUUUCUAUUUGGA
rnacentral:tRNA from 1 species